rnacentral:rRNA from 1 species
GGACCCGCACAAGUAGUGGAGCAUGUGGUUUAAUUCGAAGAUACGCGCAGAACCUUACCAACACUUGACAUGUUCGUCGCGACUUUAAGAGAUUAAAGUUUUCGGUUCGGCCGGACGAAACACAGGUGCUGCAUGGCUGUCGUCAGCUCGUGUCGUGAGAUGUUGGGUUAAGUCCCGCAACGAGCGCAACCCUCACUUUUAGUUGCCAUCAUUUAGUUGGGCACUCUGAAAGAACUGCCAGUGAUAAGCUGGAGGAAGGUGGGGAUGACGUCAAGUCCUCAUGGCCCUUACGUGUUGGGCUACACACGUGCUACAAUGGUAUCUACAACAGGAAGCAAAACGGCAACGUUAAGCAAAUCCUAAAAAGAUAUCUCAGUUCGGAUUGCACUCUGCAACUCGAGUGCAUGAAGCUGGAAUUACUAGUAA